GAGAGCAGAGGAAGCGGAAGUGCACGGCCUGCCGGGGGGUGCGGUGAGAAGCUGAGUGCAGUGGCACCCCGGCCCGAGCAGCACCCACUUUUUGCUGGGGCUCUGAGACCUGAGUCCCUCCUUGUCCCUGCCCCGCAGGCUGGGCUGGGCUGGGGGGCGCUGCAGCCCUGUCCUGCACACGGUGGAGCAGGACCGCCGCGGCCUGCUCACGCGCCCAAGCAGACCCUGAGAACCUCCCAGUCUCCUAAGAGGAGUUAACGUGAAUCUCCGUGACGCCAGCUGAAAGACUCGGCCCGGGGAACUGUUGCCAGAGAGCCAGAGAUACGCCCCUCGGCGGGAGCUGGAGGCUGGCCUCGGAGUUCCUUCACCACGGAGAGUCUGGGGACAGUGUGCAGCACAGAAACCCGUCCGUCUGCUCGCCCCGGGCAGCCAGGGAGUGAACCCCACUCCAAUCAGCUCUUUCUGGGUCUACAGCAGAGAAAAAGUAACCAAGACUUGAAAACACCAGUUUUUAUCAAUAAAGCAUCUUACUGGUCAAUCGACCACUGGUCGCGUCAAAAAGGAAGAAUCGUUGGGAAACCCCCAGGAAUAAAAUGAUCUCCACACAGUGCCUGUUCGCACCUGUGCAGGUAACGGCCGGUGGGUCGGUGGAUACUUUGCUUCACUAAAGCAAACGGUGCUCUGUACAACUUGGUGGCGUUUCCCUCCACUAUGUCCUCGUCCAAAAAAUGUGAGUCACGUCUCUAAAACACAUUUCUUUGAAUCAUUGCAUGAUACGAAAAAGAGUUAACAAAUACAUGUCUUGGUAAUGCACACAUCUUGGCUAUAGCAGAUAUUUCUUGUAGCUUUAGUCUCCAAAACCUAAGACCAUCCUCUCUUAGGUGAUAAGUUACAAAAAAAAAAAAAAAUUAGCUUCUUACAUUGUUAAUCAAGAAAAAUUAAAUAAAAAUUCAGUCCUCUUUAUUACUGUUUAGAUUCGUAGUGUAAUUGGCCACUUUCAAGAGAUCCGCUUAAACUAUUUUUAUUUAAACAUCUAACUAUUCCUAUUUUUAAAAUUGUGCCUUUGGUAUUCCAUCUUGGGACAUAAGAAUUAUUAGAAUAAUUUGAUAUACGUUAAAUUUUUUAAAAUAAUAAAAACAUGAAACUAGUCUAGAUACACCCUAUGCAUUGUUUUAGGGGCAGGGGGUAUCAAAGGUUGGUUAAAGACACCAUAGUAUUUGGGUCGGGCUCAGAUGUUUCCAUUUUUGGCAACUAAUAGUUGAUGAUUUGAAAAUGAUUUAUGCUCUAAUAUUAGAAAAUAGGAAAAUCCCACUUUGUGCUUCUUUCUACUCACAUUGCCCUCCUUGAAGCAUUCGCUUGAGCUGGCACCAAAGGGGUGCUGUGACUUCAGGUGACAUCAUGG
rnacentral:lncRNA from 1 species